rnacentral:rRNA from 1 species
UACGUAGGGGGCGAGCGUUGUUCGGAAUUAUUGGGCGUAAAGGGUGUGUAGGCGGCCGAGUAAGUGUCCUUAACAAGAUCACAGCUCAACUGUGGGACUUGGGGGCAAACUGUUUGGCUAGAGUGUACUAGGGGCAAGGGGAACGUACGGUGUAGCGGUGAAAUGUAUAGAUAUCGUACGGAACACCAGUGGCGAAGGCGCCUUGCUGGGGUACAACUGACGCUGAAACACGAAAGCCAGGGUAGCAAACGGG